rnacentral:rRNA from 1 species
AGAUUGAACGCUGGCGGCAUGCCUAACACAUGCAAGUCGAACGGGAGUAGCAAUACUCUAGUGGCGGACGGGUGAGGAAUACGUAGGAAUUUGCCCUUAAGUGGGGGAUAACCCGGGGAAACCCGGAUUAAUACCGCAUGACCUCGAAAGAGCAAAGUGGGGGAUCGCAAGACCUCACGCUUUUGGAGAAGCCUACGUCGGAUUAGCUAGUUGGUGAGGUAAUGGCUCACCAAGGCGACGAUCCGUAACUGGUCUGAGAGGAUGAUCAGUCACACCGGGACUGAGACACGGUCCGGACUCCUACGGGAGGCAGCAGUGGGGAAUAUUGGACAAGUGGGCGCAAG